rnacentral:lncRNA from 1 species
UGUCAAUUCAUUUUCUAAAAGUUUCUCGAUAGUUUUCAUUUCUUCCACCUGCUCUCUUCUUCGACGAAAUCGAGGAGAACACGAUCUGUCUCCGGCAGCUUCUCCGACGGUCGGCAGUUCUCAGACGGUGGCUCAGUGGUCUGAAAUCGACGAUGUUUUCAGAUAAGUUUUAUGAACCCUAAUCUCUGGAUUUUCAUCUGAAAAUGGCGAUCCUCGUUAAACCAAAACAGAAAUAGUGAUUGGUUUCUCGUUUGCGGAUUACUGUUAAGUAGAGAAUCCAUCAUUCCGUUGUCGUUCUGAUUACACCAAAUCAAAAUCUCAUGAAUCAAAUGCGAAUUAGGGAUUAGAAAGCUUCUGAUUUAGGGAUGGUUUGAAUUGGAAGUUUCGACAUGUUAUUGGAUCAAGUUUUUUUGCGUUUUCCUCUGUUUUCUUAGACUCCCGUGUGUUUCCAGAAGAUUUGGAUAGAUAAUUCGACGAUCAUUGUACAUUGUUUGAGAUCCUUUUGCUUAAUUACAUGUCAACUCAGGUUUAGCUAUAUAAAAUGCAUUGCAGGAUAAUCAGAUUGAUUUGCUGGUUUUUUUUUUUAUAGAAUGGAAGGUGACUCGAGGUAUCGUCAUUUUCAGAUGGUGACAACGACAACAUUGAGCGCCGUAGUGCAGGAGAGGUAGAAUCUGAGCUCGUAAAAAGGAAAGCUAGCAGUGAAAUCUGAGCGUCGUAGUGCAUGGAGGUGCUUGUAACACCCAGCAAGAGAGAUAACUUAAAGGGAAAAUCAAGAACAGCAACAGUGAACGAGAAACAUGGGAUCAACGUAGCGAAUGGAGUGGGAGAUAAAGACUUGGGUCAUAUCGUGAAGACCAUUAUACGUUUAGAGCUAGGAGGUCACAUAGACAAGAGUUUUAGGGAAAGGUUCUUGACAUGGUAUAGCUUAAGAGCUAUUCACCGAGAAGUUAGAAUCGUGAAGCUCUUUGUGGACACAUUCAUGGAGGAUCUGUCUUCUUUGGGACAACAGCUUGUGGACACAGGAACAGAGUCUGGGUAAGAAUUGCAGUACAUAUUACUACAUGCGAAAUGCAGCUUGAACCCUCAUCCUUUUUGGCUCGUGUUUAAGACGGCAUGAGAAAGACCUGUAAGAGAGGAGAAAUUGAUGAGGCAAAUUGAUUAAUACGAAAACAAAACUGGAUGCAAAGAGUCACGAGAAGACGUUGAUGAUUCACCUUCAUUGCAGCGUAGACAUGGAGCAACAAAAUGCUGAGCCUGAGAAGUUGUUAAAUUCCAUUAUCUACAAAAGACGUUGAUGCUUUACCUUCAUUGCAGCUUUAAAAGCUAAUUCAGACAUACUAGUACAACCUACACAAAACAGCUUGAUGGGAAAAAUUUGGAUUAAAACAUAAUUUUUUUUUGAAACCCCAAAGGGUCUCUGCAUUGGACCUUAAAAAUUCUACCUCUUCUUAACUAAGUUUCUAAUCCAAUAAUAAUAUUUAAAAAAUCAAUAAGAGACUCAUAUGCGUCUUUGCAUUGAGGAUGCUCUAAUUGCCUUGGGGGAGUCACUAUCCCACCUAUGUUUUUUUUUGUUUUUUGUUUUUAUUUUCUCCUUGCACUAAAUGUAAUACUCUACUUUAUUCAUAGACGAAUAUACUCUAAAUUCUUUAACAAAAAAAAAAAAUAAUAAUACUCU